CGCGUAGGUGGUUUGUUAAGUUGGAUGUGAAAGCCCCGGGCUCAACCUGGGAACUGCAUCCAAAACUGGCAAGCUAGAGUACGGUAGAGGGUGGUGGAAUUUCCUGUGUAGCGGUGAAAUGCGUAGAUAUAGGAAAGAACACCAGUGGCGAAGGCGACCACCUGGACUGAUACUGACACUGAGGUGCGAAAGCGUGGGGAGCAAACA
rnacentral:rRNA from 1 species